CCUACGGGAGACAGCAGUGGGGAAUAUUGCACAAUGGGGGGAACCCUGAUGCAGCGACGCCGCGUGAGUGAAGAAGUAUUUCGGUAUGUAAAGCUCUAUCAGCAGGGAAGAAAAUGACGGUACCUGACUAAGAAGCCCCGGCUAACUACGUGCCAGCAGCCGCGGUAAUACGUAGGGGGCAAGCGUUAUCCGGAUUUACUGGGUGUAAAGGGAGCGCAGACGGCUGUGCAAGUCUGGGGUGAAAGGCGGGGCCCAACCCCCGGACUGCUCUGGAAACUGUAAAGCUGGAGUGCAGGAGAGGUAAGCGGAAUUCCUAGUGUAGCGGUGAAAUGCGUAGAUAUUAGGAGGAACACCAGUGGCGAAGGCGGCUUACUGGACUGCAACUGACGUUGAGGCUCGAAAGCGUGGGGAGCAAACAGGAUUAGAUACCCCUGUAGUC
rnacentral:rRNA from 1 species